rnacentral:rRNA from 1 species
UACGGAGGGUGCAAGCGUUAAUCGGAAUUACUGGGCGUAAAGCGUGCGUAGGCGGUUCGUUAAGUCUGUUGUGAAAGCCCCGGGCUCAACCUGGGAAUGGCAAUGGAUACUGGCGAGCUAGAGUGUGUCAGAGGAUGGUGGAAUUCCCGGUGUAGCGGUGAAAUGCGUAGAGAUCGGGAGGAACAUCAGUGGCGAAGGCGGCCAUCUGGGACAACACUGACGCUGAGGCACGAAAGCGUGGGGAGCGAACAGG